UGUCUUCUGUUCACUGCAAUGUGACAUACGUGGAGCGCUAGCAUCGCUGCAGCGUCCCAAAUUUCAUUAUUCUAUAGUGUGGCUAAUGUCAACUACAAAAUUAAUAUAGAUGUGUGAAGCUGACGAGGCGAUUUACAACGUGAGGCACCCUGAAUACAAAAAUAGAUUAAGAAGAUGAGAGAGCAAUAAAAAUAUUGCGGAGAUAAUUAGCCGUGAGAUACGGCGUGGUUGUACGGCAGUAGACAUUAAGAAGAAAAUUAAUUUCAUCCUCGCACCCACGAGAAAGCAAAAAUGCUUAUAAGCUUUAUAUUCCGCAAGUGUACUGGUUCCACAUGCCAAAGUGGAGCAAUGUCGAGAGUUCGGAAAGUGGCAGUGAACGUGGUACACCAACGUUCGAAGAAAUGUUUGAGCAUGAAAUGCAGGCUCAAGAAGAGCCUGUUGUCACAUGCAAUGAGGCACAGCCACAGCUCCAGCAUUAAGAGCUCUCCCACAAAGAGAAGGCACAACCGAUUAAUUUUGUAGUUUCUUGACUCAAAAUGUAAUUGAUUUGUUUAUAAAAUAAAAAUAGUUCUUAACGCA